rnacentral:tRNA from 1 species
GCUUGCGUAGCUCAGGCGGUAGAGCACUUCAUUGGUAAUGAAGAGGUCAGCAGUUCGAGUCUGCUCGUAAGCUCCA